ensembl:lncRNA
AGCUGUAGAAGGCAGAGACUCAGGGGCAAAGCUUCAGGACCCAGAAUCUCAGGGGUAAAGCCGAAGCAGUUACACUCACAGAGGACAAAGCUUCAGGAGGCGAAGACUCAGGGGUGAAGCUGAAGGAUGUAGAGCCUCAAGGAGCAAAGGGAUACUUCAAUGCAAUAGGUGGCGGUAUGCAUAGUGCUGCCCCUCAGUAAACAGGAGAACAGGAGGUUGGGCUAUUUCCGCUUUAGAAUAUGCGCACAGAAUGGCAAGCGGACGCAUCGCUGGAAAACACAGAGAGAGAAAGCCCUAUAAAAGGGAGGCUUGUUGUUAUUUCGGAUUCUCAGACUGGCUAUGAAACAAUCCGUUUGUGAAGAGACAGAUGCUGAAACCCAUCAUAACAUUGGAGGAUUUUGGGCCAUACUUACAUUGCCUGGUGUUCUAAGGUUCACUUCUUGGCUUGAUGAAUGAAGUUUUAGGUAAGCAAAUUCAAAUAACACAGUUUUACCUGAAAUUUCAUGAAAUUGGAUUUUUAAUCCCUUUCUUGACAUUUAAUAGCAUAUUGGUUUGGGCUACAAUGGUAUGGAGGAUCAAACCUGCAGAGAUUAAAGAUGCAUUAAUAAUUUGUUGAAAAAAUGUAAUAAAAAUAAGUAAAGAAAUAAAUUAUUUGAUUAAAACAAAUAUAGUUAAUUUGUAAUAAAAUGUAAUCCUGAAUUAAUUUUUUAUUAUCUUCAUGUAUUAUGUUCAGUACUUAUUUUUUAUUCUUUAACUUUUAUUUACAUAUUCUUUCAUUUAUUAAUUUAAUAUAUGCAUUUUUUAUUGUUAAAUGUAUUUAUUCAUGCAUUUUUAUUUUUUUAUAAUUUAUUCCCACAUGUAUUUAUUAUUAUUAAUUACAUCCAAGAUUUUUUUUUUAAUUCCAUCAGGUGCGUGAUUUCACAUAGAGCAGCUGUUACUACACAGAGCCGUUGUUAACUGACAAGCUGCCCAAAUAAACGCUGAUAAUGAACGUGGAUUUGCGCAGCUUGUCCGUUUACAACGGCUCCGUGUAGUAACAGCUGCUGAAUCUAUUUUUUUAAUCACUAUGAUACACCUAUAAUAAUUUUAGAUUCUGACUAUUUUAGACUGGUUUGGGUAGGUACCGCUGCAGAGUAGCCCAGUACCUGCGUGAUUUGUCAUAGACAUAAACAGAGAAAAGUAGCUCCGGCUUCAAUGUUCUUCCACAAGACGGACGCAGUUCUGUUUACUAACCACUAGAGCACCAAAAGUUACAGACUGCAGAUUUAAUUGCUGUCAUUCGUUCUCGAAAUAGAAAGUGAUCAAAACAUUUAUACAGACCACAACCUUACAACAAAGACUAUACAGUUUAGCUCUUCUGAGUAUUGAGAAUGCCUAUGGUUGUUAAAGCUGCAGUGAAAAAAAGUAUUCUGUAAAGUUUUGUUAGUUUAUUUCUGGUUGUCAGUUGAUGAAAUGUAUAAGUGCACUUUUUUUACAAUGUGGAAUUUUUCCCUCUUGCCUCUGUAUACACAAAUCCGCCGCAAACUCUAUGGGCGCCGCCAUCUUGCCUGCCGCCAUUACUGCGUGCCUGCGAGGUGUGACGGUGUGACACUUGCCGGUGCCCUCUAAUGACAUUUCAAUGAAAGCGGAUCCUGCUCAUUAAAGAAAAUGUCUGGUGAAAGGGAAAAUUGGGUAGAUGAUGUCAGGCAGUGGCCAAAACUUACUGAUAAAGCAAUCUCAACAAUGGACUCGUUUCCUUCCUUUUUGGUGUCUCCUGUACUUUCUGUUUGGAGGUCAUUGCAUGUGUCUGAUUGAGCAACUGUCAUUAUGCAUUUCUGUUUGCAGUGCUUUGCUUAAAUUUUGAACCCUUAGCAACAAUAAAAGUCUUUGGAGUUUUCCAUUUGGGUUGUGGUUGUACAUGUUUUCCUUGAUUUAAUAUCCUUAUGGAUAUGUGCAAUGCAACAAUUUAUUUCACACUAAAAAAAAUGAACCAGCUAUAAACACUUUUUUUUUUGAGCUGCAUGUGGUAUAGCAGUCUUAAAUGCAAUAACUAAAAUAAUAAUUUUCCUAAAUAACUUUUCUUGUUGGCUUAUCAACAGUUUAAUAUGUAAAUGGAAAUAAUUAAUUUAAUGGUCUUACCUGUUAUUUUCCACUUUUCUUUUGUUCACGUUUUCCUUGGCUGCAUUCAUCACUCUAUAGCAUUCUUUAAGAACUCCUGGGAUGCAACCUUAUUUUCUUCAUGCAUGAAUGAGUGAAUGAAUGAAUGAUGCAUUUAUAUAGCGUUUUAUUCUGUAUUGUUGUACACCCAAAGCGCUUUACAUCAUGUGGGGGGGUCUCUCCUCAACCACCACCAGCAUGCAGCAUCCACCUGGCUGAUGCAACGGCAGCCACAGGACAACGGCACCAGUGCGCUCACCACACACCAUGGGGAAUGCAUAAACCUAAUUGUAGCCUAUGUGUUCAAUUAUAUUAUUGAAGGGUAUCAUGAUUUUGAUGUUUAAAUGCUGAAAACAGACUCAUGAUUUG